rnacentral:rRNA from 1 species
UACGUAGGGUGCGAGCGUUAAUCGGAAUUACUGGGCGUAAAGCGUGCGCAGGCGGUUAUAUAAGACAGUUGUGAAAUCCCCGGGCUCAACCUGGGAAUUGCAUCUGUGACUGUAUAGCUAGAGUACGGUAGAGGGGGAUGGAAUUCCGCGUGUAGCAGUGAAAUGCGUAGAUAUGCGGAGGAACACCGAUGGCGAAGGCAGCUUACUAAGGAUUUACUGACGCUGAUGCACGAAAGCGUGGGGAUCAAACAGG